rnacentral:rRNA from 1 species
UAGGGAAUCUUCCACAAUGGACGAAAGUCUGAUGGAGCAAUGCCGCGUGAGUGAAGAAGGUUUUCGGAUCGUAAAGCUCUGUUGUUGGUGAAGAAGGAUAGAGGCAGUAACUGGUCUUUAUUUGACGGUAAUCAACCAGAAAGUCACGGCUAACUACGUGCCAGCAGCCGCGGUAAUACGUAGGUGGCAAGCGUUGUCCGGAUUUAUUGGGCGUAAAGCGAGCGCAGGCGGAAUGAUAAGUCUGAUGUGAAAGCCCACGGCUCAACCGUGGAACUGCAUCGGAAACUGUCAUUCUUGAGUGCAGAAGAGGAGAGUGGAACUCCAUGUGUAGCGGUGGAAUGCGUAGAUAUAUGGAAGAACACCAGUGGCGAAGGCGGCUCUCUGGUCUGCAACUGACGCUGAGGCUCGAAAGCAUGGGUAGCGAACAGGA